AGGGAGAACAGAGGACAAAAGAGCUGGAGACAUAGCAGCUGAUCAGUAUCACAAGUACAAGGAAGAUGUGAAGUUGAUGCAUGACAUGGGCCUGGAUGCCUACAGAUUCUCUAUCUCCUGGAGCAGAGUCAUUCCUAAUGGUAGAGGCCAGUUAAUCCAGAAGGGGUGUAGUAUUAUAAUAACUUGAUCAAUGAACUCAAGAAAUAUGGAAUUGAACCUCAUGUCACUCUUCUUCACUUUGACCUCCCCCAAUCUUUAGAAGAUGAAUAUUCUGGACUCUUGAGCCCAAAGAUUGUAGAGGACUUCACUGCUUAUGCUGAUGUGUGCUUUAGA